GAUGAACGCUGGCGGCGUGCCUAAUCCAUGCAAGUCGAGCGAACAGACGAGGAGCUUGCUCCUCUGACGUUAGCGGCGGACGGGUGAGUAACACGUGGAUAACCUACCUAUAAGACUGGGAUAACUUCGGGAAACCGGAGCUAAUACCGGAUAAUAUAUUAAACCGCAUGGUUCAAUAGUGAAAGACGGUUUUGCUUUCACUUAUAGAUGGAUCCGCGCCGCAUUAGCUAGUUGGUAAGGUAACGGCUUACCAAGGCAACGAUGCGUAGCCGACCUGAGAGGGUGAUCGGCCACACUGGAACUGAGACACGGUCCAGACUCCUACGGGAGGCAGCAGUAGGGAAUCUUCCGCAAUGGGCGAAAGCCUGACGGAGCAACGCCGCGUGAGUGAUGAAGGUCUUCGGAUCGUAAAACUCUGUUAUUAGGGAAGAACAAAUGUGUAAGUAACUAUGCACGUCUUGACGGUACCUAAUCAGAAAGCCACGGCUAACUACGUG
rnacentral:rRNA from 1 species